rnacentral:rRNA from 1 species
CGUAGGGUGCAAGCGUUGUCCGGAAUUAUUGGGCGUAAAGAGCUCGUAGGCGGUCUGUCGCGUCGGCUGUGAAAAACUCGGGGGCUCAACCCCGAGCCUGCAGUCGAUACGGGCAGACUAGAGUGCUGUAGGGGAGACUGGAAUUCCUGGUGUAGCGGUGAAAUGCGCAGAUAUCAGGAGGAACACCGGUGGCGAAGGCGGGUCUCUGGGCAGUAACUGACGCUGAGGAGCGAAAGCGUGGGAGCAAACAGGAUU